rnacentral:rRNA from 1 species
GAGUCUGCAACUCGACUCCAUGAAGUCGGAAUCGCUAGUAAUCGCGGAUCAGAAUGCCGCGGUGAAUACGUUCCCGGGCCUUGUACACACCGCCCGUCACACCAUGGGAGUGGGUUGCAAAAGAAGUAGGUAGCUUAACCUUCGGGAGGGCGCUUACCACUUUGUGAUUCAUGACUGGGGUGAAGUCGUAACAAGGUAACCGUAGGGGAACCUGCGGUUGGAUCACCUCCUUACCUUAGAGA